rnacentral:lncRNA from 1 species
GGGGAUUGAACAUAAUUCCAGAUAUUUGGAGAGGAAAAAAGCUGCUAAGUAAAAAUACGGAGAGAAAAAGAGAACACAGAGAGAAAUAUUGAUAAGUAUCACUGUGUCACUAAAAUUCUUUUCCGGCUUCAGUGAUUUCAUUUUCUUGAUUCAAACACAUUAGACUGAUCUUGAGUGACCUUGAGUCCAGCUGAAGUGGUUUCUGAUUGAACUUUAGCCUAUUGGAAGUUGAAGUGAUUCUCGUUGUUUCUUGGAGUUCGUUUGAUUUGUUUUGGUACUGUUGAGGGUCAAUCUUUUGGUUUCUAUUUGGAUUUUGGGUUAUUGAAUCAUUCCUGGGUUAAAGAAUAGUCGUGUCGUGGUUGUGUGAAAUUCCUAACAGCUAUUGACUGCCCUGCUGUGCUAACUGCAUCUGUUCCCUGUUGAUUUCUUAUUUCCAGGUACACAAUUUGAACUCACCUUGAUGUAACUGCAGAUUUGAAUGAAACCAUAUUUUCAGAGCCAUGCUCGUUUGGAAUACAUAUAACUGUAUUUGAUCCUUUGUUGUGUAAUGUACUUAUUCAGUUCAUCUAAUUUGUGUUGUAUUAAGGACAAUAUAAUUUGAACCAUUUUUGAACUAUUUAGACCAUUCGAUUCAUACUGGACCAUAUUUGGAUUGUGUUGUUUUGGACGUCCAAUUCGUGAUAGGUUGCUAAACUUUAUAACUGUAUAGUUGUCCUGAUAGUAACAUUACUUUUAAUGUAAUUUGCAACACUGAUAUUAGAGGCUAUUAGCAUUAGAAUGAACAUGUAGCAAUCAUUGAGAUUUUGAAUAACUGGAGUAUUUUAUGAAUUGUGUUAACUGAACCGUUAAGCUAAUUCGAGGUUUUCUUAAAAGAGUUUAUUUUUUUUUUGUAUUCAACGGUGUCAUCUUAAUUUAGUGUAAAUCCAAAUGCGUAUUAGCAAGUAUCAAUUUGAUUAGGUAUUAGAUUGUUGUUUGUUAGCUCGUAAGUAGAAGUAGCAGUUAUUAUUAUAUGAAUAAAACCGGACCAAUAGAUUUUCAGAUUUCUGUUUGAGCGAGCUUUUUGCUUCUAAUUUCUUUUGUUAUUAUAGGAUGGAAGGUGGAAUUCCCUAAUAUAAUUAAUCCUCACCUUGUUGUUCCCUUUAUACACAAAGUUUUUGAUUACCAACAAUUGUAGCGACGCUAUCAGUAGUACCAUAUUCCAUUGGGAUUAGUGAGUAGGUAGAACAAAAAUGGCCACUAAUUUCUUAGAAUCAACAUGUAUGCCAUAUUUUAUUUAUAAUUCCAAUUUUUAGUAAUAUUCACUCAUAGGAUAAGGCACGAAAUAAUCUUCCUUUGAAAAAUUGCAAUUGUAAUUUUUCGUUAGCAUUUGGCUUAAGCUAGUAACUAAUAAGUUAACGGCCUUUUCAAGCUUAUAAUUAAUUUGGAGUUUUUCUUUUAUUUUAAAGAUAAUUUUAAUAGAAAAGUGUAGUCACUUUAGGAUAUCCCUAAAAUAAAGGAGGCGUGCCUCGCCACAGUACAUUACAGAUCGCAGGGCCCUCGAUAAUUGUUUGAAUUAAAAUACUUAGAAUCCGGGUUGGGCUGUUUAGCGAAUUUCACGGCUCUCCUUAAAUAAUAACGUGUUAGUCUCUUUUAGACGCGAUUCUAAUAAAAUUAUAUUCCUAAAUUUGGGUAUACAUUUAUGUGACCCAAAUCCAAAUCUCAAAGAAGUCGGAACACAUCAAAAAUUGCGGAUACAUUUAUGUGACGCAGUUCGAGAUGCAUUCUCACGACGUUGCAAUUCUAGUAAAAAUAAUCAAUAAAAGCGACUAAAAGUUAAAAUUGGCACAUAAGUUAUAACAUGUAUAAAAAUAAGAUAUUUAGCCAUUACAACGAUUUAUGCGACUGUGCUAGAACCACGGGAUCCGGGGGUGCCUAACACCUUCCCUCGGGUCAACAGAAUUCCUUACUUAAUAUUUCUGGUUCGCAGACUUCAUUUGGAAAGUCGAAUAUUUUCCUCGAAUUGUGAUUCAAGACAAACUGGUGACUUGGGACACCAAAAGCCAAAUCUUUCCCAAUAGGCGACUCUGAAAUAAAUAAAUAAUUCCAUUUCAAAUAUUGUCACUUAAAUUGGAUAAACUCCCUUGUGCAUUUAUCCCUAGGGGUGGGUGCGCAAAAAGGAGGUGUGACAGCCGUCAUGACAGGUUCAUAAUUGGUGAACUAGGGUCGUGACACAAGAAGUAACGAAGACUGCUGGAGUGGUUCACGGUGUACAGGAAAAGAAAUUAAUUUGCAUACGAUCAACAAAUCAUUGUGGAAUCUAAUCGCAAAUCAAUCAACAAUAACAAUGAUUAGCUGAGCUGGAAAGAAUCAAAUAAGCCUUGGGCAAAGGCACAAAUCAACGACAGAAUCAUGGAGGAUUGAAGGAUACGAGGAGAUAUGGUACGCGACCGCAUUUGAAAGAACCAACACUCAAGGAGCAAUCUUCACUCGUAUAUCUGCUGAUGGAAAGCAAUCAAGAGAAACAACGACUCAUUCCUUAUUCUUGGAAAGAAUCAAUUCUUUCCAAGGAUCAAAUCUCUUGGGUUGUCAAACCUCUACUAUCCAUCAAAGUAUUUAUAACUCGUUGUAAGCCUAGUUUACAUAUACUUUGAUCAAACCAAAAUCACUCUCUUUAUUCUACUUUAAACAAGCAUUGUAGUUUACUAAGAUUUGUUGUGUAACAAGUCAGGGAAAGAAAGGGAGCAUAAUACCGGUGAAACAUUGUAUCAAAAACAAGUGCUUGAGAAACUAAGUGAAAAUCACCACAACUAUACUCGGAAGAAACUCAUUUACUAAAGAGAACUCCCUUGCAACCCAAGGGGACUGGAUUAGGAUUCACAUUGAAUUCGAACCAGUAUAAAAAUCCUUGUAUUUUUAAUUCCUGCAAUUACUUUCUGCAAUUUACUUCCUGUUAUUAUAUCUGUAACUUAUUCUAUUUAGUCGACUACUCAAGUAAUAAGUUAACUAAUAAGCAAUUAUUUUUAAAGAGUUACAAU